CGUUUGAGGCAGAGCGAAGCUGUCCCACUUCUGACCCAAAUAACGAGUGGGAAUGGGUUCAUUGUUUGUAUCUGAGAAAAAAAAACCUCAAGUGACUAAGCCAAUCUCAUGGUUUUGAGCGGACUGACUCAUAACCGAAUUCUGAAACCCCCAGGCGAGAAUCCAUUAUAUUAGUUGUUAAUUUACUCCUUUUUUUUUUUUUUUUUUUCUCCUUAAACUGGCAAAUCCUGCAAAAGUCUCGUUCAGUUGGGAUGCAAAUGGUAGGGAAAGCUUAACAUUACCGUGAAAGUUGAAGAGAAGAAAGGGAAAUAAAUAACUUUGUUUCUUUGGCUGCUGAGAGAGGAGGCAGUGGGAAGAAGGUUGAUCCACCUCCCUCCGAUAAGGACGUUUGCCUCUCCGUUUACCAAGUACAGCACUUCAUGUGUGCUCAUGACAGCGAAUGAUUUUCUGUAUCGGCCUCUGUCCUUUCAGCAGGCACACCCGUGCUGCCGCUCCCUUGUGAAUCUAGCAAGUGUUGCUCUUCUGUCCCAGGGCAGAGAACUAGCAGUAAAAACGGCUGUUUAAUAUGAAAAGGGAGGAACAAAAAGGGGAGACAAAUGUAUAGGCCUUUUGCAUACAGCAUUUCAAAGGUCUGAAACCCCCUCUCCCCUCGGGAGUCUCAUUUACAAGGAAAUGAAAAGUGUUUGGGAAUGGCUCAACCUUCCAAAUCAAACUCCUCACAAUUUUGCUGUAUCGAAAGACCUGUUCUCAUGACAGCACCCAGGAGGUGAAGGGAUUUAUAUGUAUGACUUUUCUGAAGCAACCAGGACCCACACAUCUGUUCUUUCAGGGUGGAGGAGAGUAUCUUCCUGGAGUGUUGCAAGAACUGGUUGAUCACUAUGGGAGGUGUCCUGCUGUCCAUGUAAAGGUUCCUCCCAGUGCCCAGAGCUUUAGGAGCUCUGAAGACUUUCUUCAGAGAUAAGGACUUUGCCUUUUUUUCUAGGCACCAUAAGGGCUUUGCUACUUCUCCAGUCAUUCAGGUAAUGGGAUUCAACAGGGAAAAAAAGAAAACAGCGCUGUACUGUAUUUGGGGGGAUGAAGACACAGAAAGCCAAGGUGGCUGCUCUGUAGAGAAAACCUAGAAACAUUACUUAAAGCACCAAGAAUCUGAGGGGCCAUGGUAGUGCCAACUUUGAGCCCAUAAUGGCACAAAAACAGUGUUGGGGAGGGAGCUCUUUUUCCUCUGCCCUCACCACUGCCUAUCAUAAAGUACUUACAGGCAGCAGCUAUAUUCCCUGGUGGGCUUUGCCAGGAGGGGUGUUUGCUUAUGGGUCUGCUGACUCCUUGAGUUUCAGGUUUUCCAUUUAAAAUGAACCUAAUCUAGGCCAGGAUCCCCAGAGGCACUGUUGCUGUACCCUGCCAAGCAAAGCUGCCACAGAGCUCCUCCAGCAUGAGGUCCAAGAGGUGCUGUGAGCUUUGCUGGAGGGAGGUAGAUGAAGCUGUUUUUACUGUGGUCAUAGAGGCCCAAAGGCUGUUUGUUACAUGAUGUGGUGCCUGUGAGAAGGAACAGAAGUCACUGCUGAAGGAGGUCCUUUUUGCUUCUCAUGAUUAUAACCACAUUUUUACAACCCUGAUAAAGUGCUUCUCCUUCCUUUGGAGAACUUGGCUUUGGUCCUUCUUGUUGAACCUCUUUUUUUUUGGACAGCUGCUAUCACUGGAUAGUCUCUCCUGAGGUUUUCCCAAAGCCUUAUACUUUGGAGUACCCAGAGCACUGAAACAAGACUACAGAAUAAGUUUUAACUUGCUGUGGCCUGAAUUGCAGAGGCCAGAAGUGGGUGGACACAAUAAGCCAAGUAGCAAAGAACACCAAUAGCAAAUGUUACAUUCCAAAAAUGCAGUAAUGCAAGCCUGGCUUCAAACUCUGUAUUUCUAAAUUUGCAGGGAAAUUGUAACGAAUGCAUUUAAUUUGUCAAGGUAAGGAAGUUCAGUAUGGACCAGUUCAAGUCAAGCUGAAACAAAUUUGAAGUCUGGGCAAGCCUUUAGUAGAUCAUGUGGAGGCUUGGCUCAGUAUGUUCUGUGUUUCAGUUAUCUAUUCAGACCUCAUGGCUGAAUUAUUUGUGACUUACUCAUCCUUAUCUUCAACAUGAGCCUUCUCUCCUCUCAUGCAAUCAUCUGGUUUAGGGCUGCAGUCUCAAAAAAGACCUGCAAGUCUUACAUCUCACUUUCCUUUCAUGUUCUGUCACCAAACCCAUCAGGAUAUAAACAAAGGUACGCAUUUUCCCAAAGCCACUUGCAAUUCCAAAAAGAGCCUGUGUGAUGCUAAAAAAUGCAUGUGGGAUCAACAAACCCGCUGCUGUACUGUCUGUCUCUCACUGAAUCAUGGCGUUGUCAGAAGGGAGAAGGAAAUUUUAAGUAGCUGGAGAUGCUUUGUGCUCAGACGCACAGCACACAGACAGGAUACCUCCAUCUGGACUUGGGAUACAUCAGCCCUGAUCCAGUGCCUGUGAGACAGCUCAAAACUGUAAGGGCACAAAGGAGUAAUUAGCUUCUCACUCAUUAUUACAUUCAUGAGAACUGAAAUAUGACAAGAAGCCAAAAUCUGUCACUUUAAAAAAUACUGAAUCCUAAACUGCACAUGGAAAAUCACCAGUAUUUGGAGGAAUGCAGUUUGAUCUUAUGGAGACAGACAGACAAAGAGACACUCGGGCACAUUUUUCUCAACAGAAAUAUUUCCAGCUUCUUUCUCAAGCCUUCAGAACACCUUCAUCUCUUAGUCAGUGAUUUUUCCUUAAGGUAUCUCAAGGGAUUUAUGUUAUCUAACAUUGGUGUUACAGGCAGCAGUUACUCAACAAUGCUGAUGCAAAGGUACAGUCAUGGAAGUGUGGGAAGAGAAAGCCUGAGGUUUUUGGUAGCUGCUCUGUGUCAGGUAAAACGAGCUUUCCUCACAAUUUGGCAAUAGGAGCCUUUCUAAAAUGAGAUAGAGCAGUACUUAUUUCUCCCCAGGGCAGGAAGAAAGAUCUGUACUUCCUGGUGAGAACUAAAACAUUUUAUAGAGCUUGAAGUUGAAGGCAGGUGCAGGAGCCAGAGUGAUUCUAGAAGCACAGACCAGGAGAAUAUGCCUUUUGUCUACCCAUUUUAAUUACUCAUCCAAGGAGCUGUUCAGACCUCGAAAAUCAAAGUAGAAAUUCACUUGUGUCAUACGUAUUCGUUCAUUUCUGCAGAAUUCCAACACACCGAUUGCGCAGAUCGGUUCAAGCACUUGGGAGCUCAACUUAUUUUCAGGCAUCAUGUGCUGUCUCCCAACACUUCGUGAGUGAUGAUAAGCCAUGUCUGGGUUCAUAACAUCCAAAAUCCAUGCUGCCAGACUGCUUUUGGCAGUGCUUAACUGCUGUGGCUCUCAGAGGUGCAAAUGGUAAUAACUUCUUCAUACAAUAGUGGAGAAAUGCUUACGGCAACAAGAGGUACGAUACCCCAGUGGCCUCUGGUAAUGUGAGAGAUGUCCCAUACUCACUUCUAGCCUCUGUUUUCAAAGGGAUGAUAAAUGGACUGGGAAAAAUAAAGUUUUCCUUGAUGA